AAAGGUAAGCUACUAAGAGCGAAUGGUGGAUGCCUUGACUGGUAAAGGCGAUGAAGGACGUACUAGACUGCGAUAAGCUACGGGGAGCUGUCAAGAAGCUUUGAUCCGUAGAUUUCCGAAUGGGGCAACCCAAUGUAUAGAGAUAUACAUUACCUAUAUAGGAGCGAACGAGGGGAAUUGAAACAUCUUAGUACCCUCAGGAAAAGAAAUCAAUAGAGAUUGCGUCAGUAGCGGCGAGCGAAAGCGCAAGAGGGCAAACCCAGUGCUUGCACUGGGGGUUGUAGGACUGCAAUGUGCAAGAGGUGAGUUUAGCAGAACAUUCUGGAAAGUAUAGCCAUAGAGGGUGAUAGUCCCGUAUGCGAAAAACAAACCUUAGCUAGCAGUAUCCUGAGUAGGGCGGGACACGAGGAAUCCUGUCUGAAUC
rnacentral:rRNA from 1 species